GAGUCAGUCGAUCCUAAGGCCCGGGGAGAGAUCCUCGUACCACGGGCGAAGGCGUUUUCGAAUCGCCCUUGGGGCGAGAGGGAAUCCGGUUCGUAUUCCGGAACCCGACGCGGAACCGCUCCAUAGUGUUCGGGGCUCUUUUGUCUCGUCUGGGUAACCAGAAUGAACUCGAAGAAGCCGCCGGGGGAUCUGGGUAGAGUUCUCUUUUCUCUGUGAGCGUUGUACGUCCCUGGAAUCCUCUAGCCGGGCGAUAGGGACGCGAGCGCGAAGAGCACCGCUCGUUGCGGCGGUGUCCGUGAUCCCCACGCGGACCUUGAAAAUUCGAGAGAGGGCCACGCGGAGUCUUCGCGUCGGUUCGUACCGAUAUCCGCAGCAGGUCUCCGAGGUGAGCAGCCUCUAGCCGCAUAGAAUAAUGUAGGUAAGGGAAGUCGGCAAAACCGAUCCGUAACUUCGGGAUAAGGAUUGGCUCUGAGGAGCGUGGCUGCCGGGUUCGGGUCGUCGUAGAAGCGUAGGCGUUUUUGGCGACACCCCGGCCGUCGCCCGUGCGCCCGGUCUUCGGAACGGGAGCCUCGAGGCGGCCGCGGGCCCGUCGCCGUCCGCCGACCGUGGAACCACCGAGCUUCGGUCGCUGGCCGCGUCGCGGCCGGCCGACCGCCUUGGUGUCGGUUCGCCGUCACCGGGCGGUCCGGCCGCCGCGCCGUCGGUCGCGUAGCCGGAUCGACAGCCAUGUAACGGUCAACUCAGAACUGGCACGGACCAGGGGAAUCCGACUGUCUAAUUAAAACAAAGCAUCGCGAUGGC
rnacentral:ncRNA from 1 species